rnacentral:sRNA from 1 species
AUUCCACUUCCUGGUUGUUCAAAUAAAUAAGUAAAUAAAUAAUGAGCCCAUGAGCCAGUGGAGGAGGAGAUUCAAGUUCCGGGGAAGGAAUGCAUGCCUUCAGCGAGUGUUUAACUGAGUGCUUAUGACAUGUCAGACUCUUUCUAGGUGCUGGGGACACAGUAGUGAGCAAAAGAAUAGAACAACUGAACUCUCACAGAGCCAAGAGUCUAACGGGUGGGACAGAAAAGAUUCAAGGAAACAAGAUCCUUUCAGGGGUGCCUAUCCAGGGGGUGGGAGAAACAGGAAGCAGGGCAGCAGGGGAGGGAGCAGGGGCUGCUUUAGACAGGGCAGUCAGGGGAGGCUUCCUGGAGGAGGUGGGCCUCUGUGAAGAGGGCAAGUCCUGGGUUUCUGGAGGGAAGGGGGCCCUGCAGAAGCAAGGGCAAGUGGAUGUGGCUGAAGCCGAGUGUUGGGGAAGGCCGGUUGUCUCUCUGUAGAGCCCGCGGAGCUGAGCAGCGGGGAGACGGAAGAGUUACAGAGGAUCAAGUGGCACCGGAAGCAGCUCCUGGAGGACAUCCAGAAGCUGAAGGAUGAGAUCGCAGACGUGUUUGCC